GGGUCAGGAGGUUGGUCGUGCCACCGGUACGUACUGGUCUCACUGAUUCCUCCUUCUUGAAGAACCGUAAUGCCAUUAAUUUGGUGUUGCGGGGAAACAGGACUGUUACUUUGAAAAAAUUAGAGUGUUUAAAGCAAGCUAACGCUUGAAUACAUUAGCAUGGAAUAAUGAAAUAGGACGAUCGAUCCUAUUUUGUUGGUUUCUAGGAUUGACGUA
rnacentral:rRNA from 1 species